rfam:Stegodyphus mimosarum contig73009, whole genome shotgun sequence.
GCCUUCGUGGUGUAAUGGUCAGCACACUCAGCACGUAUUCGAGAGAUCCGAGGUUCGAGUCUCGGCAAGGGCA